rnacentral:tRNA from 1 species
GGAUUGUGGCUCAGUGGCAGAGUGCUUGCCUCACGUAUGCGAGAGGCACCGGGUUCCAUCCUCAGCACCA